GACCCCUAAGAAUCGAGACUCUAAAAAGAUAGAAGUCGUUCUUGCCCCAUGUGCUCAAAACUUCUCUUCUUUUCAGGAGCACUGGAAAUUCCUGGCUCGAGUAUUUCCAAAUGGACUUCCAAGUCCUCUUCCUCCUGGAGAUGUUUUUGCCCCAAUGGUUUUCAUGAUUGCAUUUUCUUCUGUAAGAGCUGUGGAUUGUCCCCAAGCAUAGGGAAAAGGACUCCACAUAUGGCCGUCUCCAUCUGA
rnacentral:lncRNA from 10 species